rnacentral:rRNA from 1 species
UUUUUAGAUCUUCCUAGAGGAGUUUGCCACUUAACCGAUAACCCACGAAAAACCUCUCCACCUUUUGAAAAUUCAGCAUGUAUACCAUCGUCGUAAGUUUACCUCCUAAGAGAAGUAUACUUAAAGAAUUCUACCCUUCAUGUCAGAUCGAGGUGCAGCAAAUAAGGUGGGGGUCGGUGAACUACAACAUUUUUACAAUUCACUUCAAAUCCGAUUAUGAAUAUCACGUAUGAAAUUACUGAUUGAAAUAGGAUUUAGCAGUAAUACUCAAAAGAAAUUGAGUAUGAAACAUAAGCUCUAAAAUAUGC